rnacentral:misc_RNA from 1 species
GGCCCUUGCUUCGUGCUGCUGACCAC